UACAGAGGGUGCAAGCGUUGUUCGGAAUUAUUGGGCGUAAAGCGCGUGUAGGCGGCUUUGCAAGUCGGAUGUGAAAUCCCGUGGCUCAACCACGGAAGUGCACCCGAAACUACCCAGCUUGAGUCUCGGAGAGGAAGGCGGAAUGCUUGGUGUAGAGGUGAAAUUCGUAGAUAUCAAGCGGAAACACCGGUGGCCGGAAGGGCGGCCUUACCU
rnacentral:rRNA from 1 species